AUUGAACGCUGGCGGCAGGCCUAACACAUGCAAGUCGAACGAGUGGCGGACGGGUGGGUAAUGUAUGGGAAAGUGCCUGAUGGAGGGGGUUAACAACUGGAAACGGUAGCUAAAAAUGCAUAGCUUCGGAUGGGCCGAGGUGGGAUUAGCUAGUAGGUGGGGUAAAGGCUCACCUAGACGACGAUCCGUAGCUGGUCUGAGAGGAUGACCAGCCAAACUGGAACUGAUAAACGGCCCAGACUCCUACGGGAGGCAGCAGUGGGGAAUAUUGUACAAUGGGCGAAAGCCUGAUCCAGCCAUGCCGCGUGUGUGAAGAAGGCCUUCGGAUUGUAAAGUACUUUCAGCGGGGAGGCGUUACCCACAGAAGAAGCACCGGCUAACUCCGUGCCAGCAGCCGCGGUAAUAC
rnacentral:rRNA from 1 species